rnacentral:rRNA from 1 species
CAUGUAGGCGGAUUAAUAAGUUUGAAGUGAAAUCCUAUAGCUUAACUAUAGAACUGCUUUGAAAACUGUUAAUCUAGAAUGUGGGAGAGGUAGAUGGAAUUUCUGGUGUAGGGGUAAAAUCCGUAGAGAUCAGAAGGAAUACCGAUUGCGAAGGCGAUCUACUGGAACAUUAUUGACGCUGAGAUGCGAAAGCGUGGGGAGCAAACG